rnacentral:tRNA from 1 species
GCCGAAGUAGCUCAGAUUGGUUAGAGCGCUAGACUCAUAAGCUUGUGCGGUCAAGUUUUUCGCCGCACUAUUAAAUUAGCGCAUCGCAACAGUGGCUGGGACAUCUAGAAGUCGCGAGUUCAAGUCUCGCCUUCGGCA